AUUGAACGCUGGCGGCAGGCCUAACACAUGCAAGUCGAGCGGAUGAGAGGAGCUUGCUUCUCGAUUCAGCGGCGGACGGGUGAGUAAUGCCUAGGAAUCUGCCUGGUAGUGGGGGACAACGUUUCGAAAGGAACGCUAAUACCGCAUACGUCCUACGGGAGAAAGCAGGGGACCUUCGGGCCUUGCGCUAUCAGAUGAGCCUAGGUCGGAUUAGCUAGUAGGUGAGGUAAUGGCUCACCUAGGCGACGAUCCGUAACUGGUCUGAGAGGAUGAUCAGUCAAAAUGGAACUGAGACACGGUCCAGACUCCUAUGGGAGGCAGCAGUGGGGAAUAUUGGACAAUGGGCGAAAGCCUGAUCCAGCCAUGCCGCGUGUGUGAAGAAGGUCUUCGGAUUGUAAAGCACUUUAAGUUGGGAGGAAGGGCAGUAAGUUAAUACCUUGCUGUUUUGACGUUACCGACAGAAUAAGCACCGGCUAACUCUGUGCCAGCCGCCGCCGUAACAC
rnacentral:rRNA from 1 species